UCUUAUUAAGAGUGAGUGGAGGGACUUGGCCCUGUAAAACUCCAGCAACAGCUCAGACGAGCGAUGUGCUAAAUCCAACAGUUCUAAUUUACGAACUGACAGAUGAGA
rnacentral:ncRNA from 1 species